GGUUAAGCGAAUAAGCGUACACGGUGGAUGCCUAGGCAGUCAGAGGCGAUGAAGGACGUGCUAAUCUGCGAUAAGCGCCGGUAAGGUGAUAUGAACCGUACUAGCCGGCGAUGUCCGAAUGGGGAAACCGG
rnacentral:rRNA from 1 species